rnacentral:rRNA from 1 species
CAAUAGCGUAUAUUAAAGCUGUUGCGGCUAAAAAGCUCGUAGUUGGAUUUCUGUCAAGGACAACUGGUCCGCCCCUCGGGUGAGCACAUAGUUUGGUCUUGGCAUCUUGUUGGAAACUGUUGCUGCACUUGGUUGUGUGGCGCAGUGUCCAGCACUUUCACUUUGAGGAAAUUGGAGUGUUUCAAGCAGGCACAUGCCUUUGGACACAGUAGCAUGGAAUAAUUAGAUUGGGCUUUUGCUCCAACUUGUCGGUUUCUGGAGCUGAGGUGAGAAUUAAUGGGGAUUGUUGGGGGCAUCCGAAUUUAGCCGUCAGAGGUGAAAUUCUUGGAUCUGCUAAAGACGGACAACUGCGAAAGCGUUUGCCCAGGAUGUUUUCAUUGA